AAUUAAAAAAGUUAAAUUUCUUAAGAUAAUAUGGGAGGUUUGCCCUAAGUUUGAGGCUAUAAAUACAGAGUUUCUGCCCCACAGUUACGAACCAGAUUUUUAUGUUCAAUAAAUAGUUUUGAUAUUAGGGUUUUUUAUAUUUCUUAUCGAAUUUCUUAUCAUGCGAUUAUGCUUUUUGUUAUAUGAAUUUGUUGGUUGUUCUACGAAUUAUUAUUAUUUUUUUUACUGAUUUUGUAUCUUUUGAUUUCUGUUUUAGGUAUACCGAUCGUGAAGCUUCGAUAAAAACGAGUUUAGACAAACGAGUUGCUGAAGUAAAAAAGAAAGUAUGAUAAGCUGUCAGGUGAAGGUAAUGGACUAUUGACAGAAGCAACAAUGAAACAUGCCUUUGACUUGCCAUCUGUGACGAGUAAUCCAUCUGGUGACUCUAACUCCGUGUCGGUUUGUGACUUCACAUUUGAUGGUAAAGGUACGCUAUUUAAUCAAUUCUAAUAUGUUGUUUUUGGAAUCGAUAUUAUUUUUAUAAAUCUUUGCAAUAUCUAAAUUUCAACUACGAUGCACGUGGAACUUAUGGAGUUUGAUCUCAUACAAGGCAAUAAUGAUUUGCUUUUAUUUUGGGAGUUGGAUCAUCGUUCUCUGCACUGGUUGGUGAUUAUGACAUAGCAAAGAAGGAAGACAACAUUGGGUUGAGAACGAUAGGAAACAUCCUGGUUGUGAUGAACAAAGAUCAGCAGUCUCUGAAUACUUCCGUGUUUAUAAAGGGAAAUGAGAACAGUGCCAAAAAUGUCGAUCUGAUGGGUCAUUCUCAUCAACCGUUUCUCGCGAGAUCAUGUGUGGACUUUUUAAAGAAUUUCUUUGAGGAUGAGUUACAUGCAACUCAAAGUAUAUUCUCAAGCAAAGAAAAAUAUGAGAAGAUACUUGGCAUGAUAACAGAUGAAGAGCUGAGAGGGGAGUGGGAGAAUUCUGCGAGAUCAUCUCCAUCAGAAGAAGCCACCAGCCUUUUAAGGUGGGAGCAGCUUAAAACGCUUCAAUCAAAGAACAACAAGGCUCUAUCACUGCGGACAUGCGUAGAAGAAAUUGUCUUCAACUUUAUAUAUCCUCGAAUUGAUUUGGAGAUUAGUUCUACUCUAUGCUACAAUUCCUUUUCUUAAACCCACGGUGC